rnacentral:rRNA from 1 species
GAUGAACGCUGGCGGCGUGCCUAACACAUGCAAGUCGAACGAAGCACUGUUAACGGAGAUUCGUCGAAGUUAACAUUGACUUAGUGGCGGACGGGUGAGUAAUGUAUGAGCAACCUGCCUUUCAGAGGGGGACAACAGUUGGAAACGACUGCUAAUACCGCAUAAUGUAUCGAGGGGGCAUCCUUUUGAUACCAAAGGAGCAAUCCGCUGAAAGAUGGGCUCAUAUCUGAUUAGUUAGUUGGUGAGGUAACGGCUCACCAAGACUGCGAUCAGUAGCCGGACUGAGAGGUUGAACGGCCACAUUGGGACUGAGAUACGGCCCAG